rnacentral:rRNA from 1 species
AGUGAACGCUGGCGGUAGGCCUAACACAUGCAAGUCGAACGGCAGCACAUUAAGAGUUUGCUCUUACGGGUUGCGUGUGGCGUACGGGUUAUGCAUACAUCGCUGUCUUCUUUUUCGUGGUGCUUUACGUAGGGAAACUUCCGCUAAUACCUCAUACGACCUACGUUUGAUAGCAUGGUAUCUUCUGACCUUGCGCGAUUGAAUGAUCCGAUGUCUGAUUAGUUCGUUGGCGGGGUAAAGGCCCACCAAGCCGACGAUCAGUAGCUGGUCUGAGAGGAUGAUCAGCAACACUGGAACGGAGACAAGGUCCAGACUCCUAAGGGAGGCAGCAGUGGGGAAUAUUGGACAAUGAGCGCAAGCCUGAUCCAGACAUACCGCGUGGGUGAAGAAGGCCUUCGGGUUGUAAAGCACUUUUGUUGGGAAAGAAAAGCAGCAGGUUAAUAACCCGAUGUUAUGACGGUACCCAAAGAAUAAGCACCGGCUAACUUCGUG